rnacentral:rRNA from 1 species
UACGUAGGGGGCUAGCGUUGUCCGGAAUUAUUGGGCGUAAAGAGCGUGUAGGCGGUUCGAUAAGUCUGCUGUAAAAGGCGGGGGCUCAACCCUCGAAGGCCGGUGGAUACUGUCGAGCUAGAGUACGGAAGAGGCGAGUGGAAUUCCUGGUGUAGCGGUGAAAUGCGCAGAUAUCAGGAGGAACACCAAUUGCGAAGGCAGCUCGCUGGGACGUAACUGACGCUGAGACGCGAAAGCGUGGGGAGCAAACAGG